rnacentral:rRNA from 2 species
UGAGGAAUAUUGGACAAUGGGUGGAAGCCUGAUCCAGCCAUCCCGCGUGCAGGAAGACGGCCCUAUGGGUUGUAAACUGCUUUUAUCUGGGGAUAAACCUACUUACGUGUAAGUAGCUGAAGGUACCAGAAGAAUAAGCACCGGCUAACUCCGUGCCAGCAGCCGCGGUAAUACGGAGGGUGCAAGCGUUAUCCGGAUUUAUUGGGUUUAAAGGGUCCGUAGGCGGACUGAUAAGUCAGUGGUGAAAUCCGACAGCUUAACUGUCGAACUGCCAUUGAUACUGUUAGUCUUGAGUAAGGUUGAAGUGGCUGGAAUAAGUAGUGUAGCGGUGAAAUGCAUAGAUAUUACUUAGAACACCAAUUGCGAAGGCAGGUCACUAAGUCUUAACUGACGCUGAUGGACGAAAGCGUGGGGAGCGAACAGG